AUUGAACGCUGGCGGCAUGCCUUACACAUGCAAGUCGAACGGUAACAGGUCUUCGGAUGCUGACGAGUGGCGAACGGGUGAGUAAUACAUCGGAACGUGCCCGAGAGUGGGGAUAACGAGGCGAAAGCUUUGCUAAUACCGCAUACGAUCUCAGGAUGAAAGCAGGGGACCGCAAGGCCUUGCGCUCACGGAGCGGCCGAUGGCAGAUUAGGUAGUUGGUGGGAUAAAAGCUUACCAAGCCGACGAUCUGUAGCUGGUCUGAGAGGACGACCAGCCACACUGGGACUGAGACACGGCCCAGACUCCUACGGGAGGCAGCAGUGGGGAAUUUUGGACAAUGGGCGCAAGCCUGAUCCAGCCAUGCCGCGUGCAGGAUGAAGGCCUUCGGGUUGUAAACUGCUUUUGUACGGAACGAAAAGACUCUGGUUACUACCUGGGGUCCAUGACGGUACCGUAAGAAUAAGCACCGGCUAACUACGUGCCAGCCGCCGCCGUAAAAC
rnacentral:rRNA from 1 species